GGCACAGCCUCAACCAUUCUGGCAAUGUGCUUGGUUUAUUUUCAGAUUUGCGAGGUGACCAGUUUCCAGACAUUGGUUCGCUCCUGCUUGUGUACGCGAUUGGCCGAGACUAAAAAAACUGUAGUGUGCCACCUUAAGGUUUUAGUCGUUUGCUUGUAAGGCAAGAUGGUCCCUGGAGAAGAACUAAAAUACGUCAACAGCCUUGUCAGCGGAAAGACACUCCGUUGCAGUAACUUAAGAUUUGCGAGGUGACCAGUUUCCAGACAUUGGUUCGCUCCUGCUUGUGUACGCGAUUGGCCGAGACUAAAAAAACUGUAGUGUGCCACCAUAA